AGAUUGAGCGCUGGCGGCAUUACCUAACACAUGCAAGUCGAGCGGCAGCGCGGGGGCAACCCUGGCGGCGAGCGGCGGACGGGUGAGUAAGGCAUCGGAAUCUGCCCUGAUGUGGGGGAUAACGUAGGGAAACUUACGCUAAUACCGCAUACGACCGAGAGGUGAAAGCGGGGGACCGAAAGGCCUCGCGCAGCAGGAUGAGCCGAUGUCCGAUUAGCUGGUUGGUGGGGUAACGGCCCACCAAGGCGACGAUCGGUAGCUGGUCUGAGAGGAUGAUCAGCCACACUGGGACUGAGACACGGCCCAGACCUCCUACGGGAGCAGC
rnacentral:rRNA from 1 species